rnacentral:rRNA from 1 species
CGGGACGGGUGAGUAAUGUCUGGGAAACUGCCCGAUGGAGGGGGAUAACUACUGGAAACGGUAGCUAAUACCGCAUAACGUCACAAGACCAAAGAGGGGGACCUUAGGGCCUCUUGCCAUCGGAUGUGCCCAGAUGGGAUUAGCUAGUAGGUGGGGUAAUGGCUCACCUAGGCGACGAUCCCUAGCUGGUCUGAGAGGAUGACCAGCCACACUGGAACUGAGACACGGUCCAG